CACGUAGGGGACGAGCGUUGUCCGGAAUCAUUGGGCGUAAAGCGCGCGUAGGCGGCCCGGAAAGUCGGAUGUGAAAUCCCGGGGCUCAACCCCGGGCCUGCAUCCGAUACUCCCGGGCUGGAGGCAGGUAGGGGAGAUCGGAAUUCCUGGUGUAGCGGUGAAAUGCGCAGAUAUCAGGAGGAACACCGGUGGCGAAGGCGGAUCUCUGGGCCUUGCCUGACGCUGAGGCGCGAAAGCUAGGGGGAGCGAACAGG
rnacentral:rRNA from 1 species